UUGAGCUGUAUGAGGUAGGAAACUCUCAAGUACGGUUUUGAGGGAAGAAAUUUUUUUCAAGUUGACCUAUCCCUAC
rfam:Picea glauca, whole genome shotgun sequence.